AGGACGAACGCUGGCGGCGUGCCUAAUACAUGCAAGUGGAACGCAUGAUUGAUACCGUAGCUUGCUACACCAUUAAUCAUGAGUCGCGAACGGGUGAGUAACGCGUAGGUAACCUGCCUACUAGCGGGGGAUAACUAUUGGAAACGAUAGCUAAUACCGCAUAAGAGUUUUUUAACACGUGUUAGAAAUUUAAAAGGAGCAAAUGCUUCACUAGUAGAUGGACCUGCGUUGUAUUAGCUAGUUGGUAAGGUAACGGCUUACCAAGGCGACGAUACAUAGCCGACCUGAGAGGGUGAUCGGCCACACUGGGACUGAGACACGGCCCAGACUCCUACGGGAGGCAGCAGUAGGGAAUCUUCGGCAAUGGGGGGAACCCUGACCGAGCAACGCCGCGUGAAGUGAAGAAGGUUUUCGGAUCGUAAAGCUCUGUUGUAAGAGAAGAACGUUGAGUAGAGUGGAAAGUUACUCAAGUGACGGUAUCUUACCAGAAAGGGACGGCUAACUACGUGCCAGCCGCGGC
rnacentral:rRNA from 1 species